rnacentral:rRNA from 1 species
CGCCUCUUGAUUAACCAUAAGAGGUCAAGCCUGCCCAGUGACAUUGUUCAACGGCCGCGGAAUUCUAACCGUGCGAAGGUAGCGUAAUCACUUGUUUUUUAAAUGAGGACUAGUAUGAACGGCUUCACGAAUGCUAUACUGUCUCCUUUAUCCCAUCAGUUAAACUAAUCUCCCCGUGAAGAAGCGGGGAUUCACCUAUAAGACGAGAAGACCCUAUGGAGCUUUAAACACUCUUAAACAUUUGAUCCUUUACUCACCACUUUCAGAAAACUUCACUAAACCCAUCACUUUGUUUAAACUUUUAGGUUGGGGUGACCACGGAGAAUAACUUAACCUCCACGUGGAAAGAAACUUACUUCUAAGCAAAAAGCUACAUCUUUAUGUAUCAAAAUAUUGACCUAAAUUGACCCAAUUAUUUGAUCAACGAACCAAGUUACCCUAGGGAUAACAGCGCAAUCCGCUUUAAGAGCUCCUAUCGACAAGCGGGCUUACGACCUCGAUGUUGGAUCAGGGCAUCCCAGUGGUGCAGCAACUACUAACGGUUCGUUUGUUCAACGAUUAAAGCCCU